rnacentral:rRNA from 1 species
CCUACGGGAGGCAGCAGUGGGGAAUAUUGGACAAUGGGGGGAACCCUGAUCCAGCCAUGCCGCGUGUGUGAAGAAGGCCCUCGGGUUGUAAAGCACUUUCAGUGAGGAAGAACGCCUGGUGGUUAAUACCCAUCAGGAAAGACAUCACUCACAGAAGAAGCACCGGCUAACUCCGUGCCAGCAGCCGCGGUAAUACGGAGGGUGCGAGCGUUAAUCGGAAUUACUGGGCGUAAAGCGCGCGUAGGUGGCUUGAUAAGCCGGUUGUGAAAGCCCCGGGCUCAACCUGGGAACGGCAUCCGGAACUGUCAAGCUAGAGUGCAGGAGAGGAAGGUAGAAUUCCCGGUGUAGCGGUGAAAUGCGUAGAGAUCGGGAGGAAUACCAGUGGCGAAGGCGGCCUUCUGGACUGACACUGACACUGAGGUGCGAAAGCGUGGGUAGCAAACAGGAUUAGAACCCCGGUAGUC